ACUCAAAUGAAUUGACGGGGACCCGCACAACCAGUGGAGCGUGUGGUUCAAUUUGAGACGAAGCAAAAAACCUCACCAAGGUUUGACAUACUUACGAAAUCCCGAUGAAAGUCGGGACCUCCCGCAAGGGACGUCUGUACAGGUGCUGCAUGGCUGUCGUCAGCUCGUGCCGUGAGGUGUUCCAUUAAGUUGGGAAACGAGUGCAACCCCUAUCUUGUGUUAAAUAUUCACAAGAGACUGCCUUAGUUUUUCUAAGGAGGAAGGAGGGGCGGACGUCAAGUCCGCAUGGCCCUUAUACCUUGGGCUACACACACCCUACAAUGGCGAAUAACAACGAGUUGCAAGUUCGCAAGAACAAGCUAAUCUCUAAAAUUUCGCCUCAGUUCAGAUUGGGGUCUGAAACCCGACCCCAUGAAGUCGGAAUUGGUAGUAAUCGCGGAUCAGCGGGCCGCGGUGAAUACGUUCUCGGGUCUUGUACACACCGCCCGU
rnacentral:rRNA from 1 species